rnacentral:rRNA from 1 species
CCCUUAGAGUUUGAUCCUGGCUCAGAGCGAACGUUAGCGGCACGCCUAACACAUGCAAGUCGCACGAGAGUGGAGCAAUCCAUGAAAGUGGCGCACAGGUGCGUAACACGUAGAUAAUCUGCCCUUCGGCGGGGGAUAACGUUCCGAAAGGAGCGCUAAUACCGCAUACAGCAGUUUCUGGUUCGCCAGAGAUUGGCAAAGGCUGGGCUCAGCAAUGACCAGUCGCCGGAGGAGGAGUCUGCGGCCCAUCAGCUAGUUGGUAAGGUAACGGCUUACCAAGGCAGAGACGGGUAGCUGGUCUGAGAGGAUGAUCAGCCGCACUGGUACUGGAACACGGACCAGACUCCUACGGGAGGCAGCAGUGGGGAAUCUUGGUCAAUGGGCGCAAGCCUGAACCAGCGAUGCCGCGUGAGUGAUGAAGGCCUUCGGGUUGUAAAGCUCUGUGGGGAGGGACGAAAGCGUAUGGUCUAAUAGGCCUAACUUUGACGGUACCUCCUUAGCAAGCACCGGCUAACUCUGUGCCAGCAGCCGCGGUAAGACAGAGGGUGCAAACGUUGCUCGGAAUCACUGGGCGUAAAGGGCGCGUAGGCGGGAAUGUAAGUCGGGCGUGAAAUCCCCAGGCUCAACCUGGGAACUGCACUCGAAACUGCGUUUCUUGAGUAUCGGAGAGGAAAGCGGAAUUCCUGGGUGUAGAGGUGAAAUUCGUAGAUAUCAGAGGAACACAGUGGCGAAGCGGCUUUCUGGACGGUAACUGACGCUGAGCGCGAAAG